rnacentral:rRNA from 1 species
CGCCCUUCAGAGGGGGACAACAGUUGGAAACGACUGCUAAUACCGCAUACGAUCCAAUCUCGGCAUCGAGGAUGGAUGAAAGGUGGCCUCUAUUUAUAAGCUAUCACUGAAGGAGGGGAUUGCGUCUGAUUAGCUAGUUGGAGGGGUAACGGCCCACCAAGGCGAUGAUCAGUAGCCGGUCUGAGAGGAUGAACGGCCACAUUGGGACUGAGACACGGCCCAG